rnacentral:rRNA from 1 species
CGAAUGGGCGAAAGCCUGAUCCAGCAACGCCGCGUGAGGGAUGACGGCCUUCGGGUUGUAAACCUCUUUCAGUAGGGACGAAGCUAACGUGACGGUACCUACAGAAGAAGCGCCGGCUAACUACGUGCCAGCAGCCGCGGUAAUACGUAGGGCGCAAGCGUUGUCCGGAAUUAUUGGGCGUAAAGAGCUCGUAGGCGGUCUGUCGCGUCGGAUGUGAAAGCCCGGGGCUUAACCCCGGGUCUGCAUUCGAUACGGGCAGACUAGAGUGUGGUAGGGGAGAUCGGAAUUCCUGGUGUAGCGGUGAAAUGCGCAGAUAUCAGGAGGAACACCGGUGGCGAAGGCGGAUCUCUGGGCCAUUACUGACGCUGAGGAGCGAAAGCGUGGGGAGCGAACAGGAUUAGAUACCCUGGUAGUCCACGCCGUAAACGGUGGGAACUAGGUGUUGGCGACAUUCCACGUCGUCGGUGCCGCAGCUAACGCAUUAAGUUCCCCGCCUGGGGAGUACGGCCGCAAGGCUA